rnacentral:misc_RNA from 1 species
UCUCCGUAGGUGAACCUGCGGUGGGAUCAUUACUGAGUGAGGGUUUAACCGCCCGACCUCCAACCCUUUGUGAACCAAACUUGUUGCUUCGGGGGCGACCCUGCCGCUUCGGCGGUGCGGCGCCCCCGGAGGACUUCCAACCCUGCAUCAUUGCGUCGGAGUAUUUUUUGUAAAUCUAAACAAAACUUUCAACAACGGAUCUCUUGGUUCUGGCAUCGAUGAAGAACGCAGC